rnacentral:snoRNA from 1 species
CGCAGAUUUCCUACCUCAGCCCGAGUAAGCCUGCAGUAUUUCCUAGGAGCAGGCCCUUGUGGGCAGUACUGCUUGCCUGGCCUGAGAACAUUAUUUUUAAAAAAGCAAUGGGGACUGGGAAGUUGGCU